AUUGAACGCUGGCGGCAGGCCUAACACAUGCAAGUCGAACGGUAACAGGAAGAAGCUUGCUUCUUUGCUGACGAGUGGCGGACGGGUGAGUAAUGUCUGGGAAACUGCCUGAUGGAGGGGGAUAACUACUGGAAACGGUAGCUAAUACCGCAUAACGUCGCAAGACCAAAAAGGGGGACCUUCGGGCCUCUUGCCAUCGGAUGUGCCCAGAUGGCAUUAGCUAGUAGGUGGGGUAACGGCUCACCUAGGCGACGAUCCCUAGCUGGUCUGAGAGGAUGACCAGCCACACUGGAACUGAGACACGGUCCAGACUCCUACGGGAGGCAGCAGUGGGGAAUAUUGCACAAUGGGCGCAAGCCUGAUGCAGCCAUGCCGCGUGUAUGAAGAAGGCCUUCGGGUUGUAAAGUACUUUCAGCGGGGAGGAAGGGAGUAAAGUUAAUACCUUUGCUCAUUGACGUUACCCGCAGAAGAAGCACCGGCUAACUCCGUG
rnacentral:rRNA from 1 species